UAUAUUUCAGUUAUGGCAGGCACUGAAACCUCACUGUCCAAAAUUGGGGGGUGAGGGGGAUAAAGAGGAGCAGGUAAAAUAUAAUAAAGUGAUUCAAACAGUCCGAACCUCCAAUAUUAACUAUUAAGAAUAGUUUGUGAUCAGAUACUUAGAGAUUCUUUUCAUCAAACACAACAUGCAUUUAAAUAUAUUAAGGUUUAUUUUUGCAUCAGGACUCUACCCCUCCUCUUUUUAAACUGUUGUUCUCAACAAGGAACACAUUCCACAGUAUGCCGCAUUGAGCAGCAUAAAUAUGGGUAAUCUUGCGUCAACAUCAGAGAGAACAAGGAGAGAGCAUAUGUUCCAAUCAAAGGGGGAGCAAUCUACAGAAGCGGUGGCAGUCAGAAAUGGGACACCUCAGAAUGGAGGUGAGUCAAGAAGAAUAAGGACCACUCGCAUGUUGCAUGUUAGCUCAGCCAGCAGGUCAGAAGCAAGGGCCGGGGCCUUUGUCCCUCACACACCUGUUCAGAGGCGGCACUGCUGGUGAAGACCAGCACAGCCGGGCAGAACACACAGACCAAAGGGCCGGUGCCCUCAGAGCAGCACCUGUGAGUCUGGGUUGUCAGCACGCCUGCCCCAGCCUGCCCACGGGCUGCCCUGAGCCCACCUCGCAGUCGGUGCCCUGAGAGAGGAGACCUGGGGGCCUGGCCUCCUCCUGCCUCUGACCAGGACAGCUUGUAGCCUGCCAUAGACGGAUCCUAAAACAGAUCCCAGCCAGAGGAGAGGCCGCACAGACUCACCGAGGGCAGGAGCUGGUGAGGGUGCCACCGAGGGCAGCCCGGCCUCCUGCAGGCCGUCCCGGC